rnacentral:rRNA from 1 species
UGGGGAAUCUUGCACAAUGGGCGCAAGCCUGAUGCAGCCAUGCCGCGUGAGUGAUGAAGGCCCUAGGGUUGUAAAGCUCUUUCAGUGGGGAAGAUAAUGACGGUACCCACAGAAGAAGCCCCGGCUAACUCCGUGCCAGCAGCCGCGGUAAUACGGAGGGGGCUAGCGUUGUUCGGAAUUACUGGGCGUAAAGCGCGCGUAGGCGGGCUGAUCAGUUGGGGGUGAAAGCCCGAGGCUUAACCUCGGAACUGCCUUCAAUACUGUCAGCCUAGAGUCCGAGAGAGGUGAGUGGAAUUCCCAGUGUAGAGGUGAAAUUCGUAGAUAUUGGGAAGAACACCAGUGGCGAAGGCGGCUCACUGGCUCGGUACUGACGCUGAGGUGCGAAAGCGUGGGGAGCAAACAGGAUUAGAUACCCCUGUAGUCC